rnacentral:rRNA from 1 species
UGGAGAGUUUGAUCCUGGCUCAGGACGAACGCUGGCGGCGUGCUUAACACAUGCAAGUCGAACGCUGAAGCUCAGCUUUUGUUGGGUGGAUGAGUGGCGAACGGGUGAGUAACACGUGAGUAACCUGCCCCCUUCUUUGGGAUAACGCCCGGAAACGGGUGCUAAUACUGGAUAUUCACUGGNCUUCGCAUGGGGGUUGGUGGAAAGGGUUUUUCUGGUGGGGGAUGGGCUCGCGGCCUAUCAGCUUGUUGGUGGGGUGAUGGCCUACCAAGGCUUUGACGGGUAGCCGGCCUGAGAGGGUGACCGGUCACAUUGGGACUGAGAUACGGCCCAGACUCCUACGGGAGGCAGCAGUGGGGAAUAUUGCACAAUGGGCGCAAGCCUGAUGCAGCGACGCCGCGUGAGGGAUGGAGGCCUUCGGGUUGUGAACCUCUUUCGCUCAUGGUCAAGCCGCAACAAUGGUUGUGGUGAGGGUAGUGGGUAAAGAAGCGCCGGCUAACUACGUGCCAGCAGCCGCGGUA